UACAUGACACCUAUCCUCGCCUCCCUCACACCCCUCCCCCCUUCCAGCCGGCCACAUUCCUGCAUGCUUGUACCAGACAGCAAAAGGUCAGAGAGAUCUGGGCCCUCACACAGACCCACAUCCUUCACUCUUGGAUUCACCUUUGCGAGAUCUUACUGCAGUUUCUAAAACUUUCACCCUCAUUGAAUUCAGGCGCAGCCCUGGCGCCUCGCGGGCUGGGACGCGGGGACGCGAGCUGGGGGCCGCCCGCCUCGCUGGGCACCAGCCGCUGCCGUCGGGGGAGGAGCGCCUGUCAGCUGCCGCCCCCGCUCGACCCUGCCGCGGCUACUAGCAAGCUGUGGCCGCCGGAAGCCACGCCCCCGGCGCCUGCCAUGACGGAGUCGGGCAACUUCCGGGUUCGUGACCACUUUCCUUACAUUGAUCGCGACGGUGGAUGGGCCGGCGGCCAUUUUAGGUACUGGUAGAGUGACUCAUUUCCGGAACGCGGUCUUGAGAACCGGAAGAGAAGCUUCCGGCCUCGGCGCCGGAUGUGUAGCUGGCGGGAGAAGCCGGCGGCUUUUCGGCGCCCGGUAGUGACCGGCUCUGCCCGGGUGGCCCGGUUGUCUGGGUCUCGGGACCGCUUAGUCGCGGGACCCCAGCAAAGCUCUCGGCGUCUCUGAGUCUCAGCUUUUUCUUCUGUAGAAUAGGGUGUUAACUCAUCGUACAUGUCACGGGGAUACCCAACGCAGUCAUUUCGAUGGUCCUGUGAGGUAGAAAACAUUGUCCAACAUUCCACGCGAGGAAACGUGGCUUGGCGACACGACUGGACUCCCCAGCCCCGCUUUUGCCCGAAGACUUCGAGGGACGCAGUUGGAGCGCGAGGCUCCUGCUUGGCGGUGAGGCAGAGGACCGACGACCGUCCUGCUCCGAAAUUCACUGAUGCGGCGGCAAGAAUGGCACCGCUUCAUAAAGCUACCGCGUUUCCCAAACUCAGUCUCAGGACCAUUUUAUACUCAUAAACAUGAAGGCCCCAAGCUUUUGCCUAUGGGUGUUACAGCUAUCAAUGUUACCACAUUGUAAGUUAAAAUGCUUUAAAGUUUGUUGUUUGUUUCGUUUAAAAGUAAACAGCCGGGCGCGGUAGCUCACGCCUGUAAUCCCAGCACUUUGGGAGGCCGAGGCGGGCGGAUCACCUGAGGUCAGGAGUUCGAGACCAGCCUGGCCAAAAUGAUGAAACCCUGCCUCUACUAAAAAUACAAAAAUUAGCCGGGUGUGUUGGCGCACGCCUGUAAUCCCAGCUACUCCGGAGGCUGAGGCAAGAGAAUCACUUGAACCCAGGAAGCGGAGGUUGCGGUAAGCCAAGGUGGCACCACUGCACUCCAGCCUGGGCGACAGAGUGAGACUCCGUCUCAAAAAAAAAAAAAAAAAGUAAACAUUACAUUCCCCGCCCACCACCAAAAUAAAGGAGUGGUACUGUUUUACA